rnacentral:sRNA from 1 species
GAAAACACUAAAGAAAAAGCAGCUGGAUUUCAUAAAGUGGUUCAUGUUGUGGAUAAACAUAUCCUAGUUUUUGAUCCCAAACAAGAAGAAGUCAGUUUUUUCCAUGGAAAGAAAACUACAAAUCAAAAUGUUAUAAAGAGACAAAAUAAGGAUCUUAAAUUUGUAUUUGAUGCUGUUUUUGAUGAAACGUCAACUCAGUCAGAAGUUUUUGAACACACUACUAAGCCAAUUCUUCGUAGUUUUUUGAAUGGAUAUAAUUGCACAGUACUUGCCUAUGGUGCCACUGGUGCUGGGAAGACCCACACUAUGCUAGGAUCAGCUGAUGAACCUGGAGUGAUGUAUCUAACAAUGUUACACCUUUACAAAUGCAUGGAUGAGAUUAAAGAAGAGAAAAUAUGUAGUACUGCAGUUUCAUAUCUGGAGGUAUAUAAUGAACAGAUUCGUGACCUCUUAGUAAAUUCAGGGCCACUUGCUGUCCGGGAAGAUACCCAAAAAGGGGUGGUCGUUCAUGGACUUACUUUACACCAGCCCAAAUCCUCAGAAGAAAUUUUACAUUUAUUGGAUAAUGGAAACAAAAACAGAACACAACAUCCCACUGAUAUGAAUGCCACAUCUUCUCGUUCGCAUGCUGUUUUCCAAAUUUACUUGCGACAACAAGACAAAACAGCAAGUAUCAAUCAAAAUGUCCGUAUUGCCAAGAUGUCACUCAUUGACCUGGCAGGAUCUGAGCGAGCAAGUACUACUGGUGCUAAGGGGACCCGAUUUGUAGAAGGCACAAAUAUUAAUAGAUCACUUUUAGCUCUUGGGAAUGUCAUCAAUGCCUUAGCAGAUUCAAAGAGAAAGAAUCAGCAUAUCCCUUACAGAAAUAGUAAGCUUACUCGCUUGUUAAAGGAUUCUCUUGGAGGAAACUGUCAAACUAUAAUGAUAGCUGCUGUUAGUCCUUCCUCUGUAUUCUAUGAUGACACAUAUAACACUCUUAAGUAUGCUAACCGGGCAAAGGACAUUAAAUCUUCUUUGAAGAGCAAUGUUCUUAAUGUCAAUAAUCAUAUAACUCAAUAUGUAAAGAUCUGUAAUGAGCAGAAGGCAGAGAUUUUAUUGUUAAAAGAAAAACUAAAAGCCUAUGAAGAACAGAAAGCCUUCACUAAUGAAAAUGACAAAGCAAAGUUAAUGAUUUCAAACCCUCAGGAAAAAGAAAUCGAAAGGUUUCAAGAAAUCCUGAACUGCUUGUUCCAGAAUCGAGAAGAAAUUAGACAAGAAUAUCUGAAGUUGGAAAUGUUACUUAAAGAAAAUGAACUUAAAUCAUUCUACCAACAACAGUGCCAUAAACAAAUAGAAAUGAUGUGUUCUGAAGACAAAGUAGAAAAGGUAAUUAACAAUUUUAUAGUUAAAUUUUAGAAAGUAUAAAAACAUGGGGGCUUUUUUUUUUUUCUUUCAGAAGGAGUCUCUUCUGUUGCCCAGGCUGGAGUGCAGUGGCGCGACCUCAGCUCACUGCAACCUCUGCCUCCCGGAUUCAAGCAAUUCUCCUGCCUCAGCCUCCCAACUAGCUGGUAUUACAGGCAUGUGCCACUACGCCCAGCUAAUUUUUGUAUUUUUAGUAGAGAUGGUGUUUCACCAUGUUGGCCAUGCUAGUCUUGAACUCCUGACUUCAGGUGAUCCGUCCGCCUCAGCCUCCCUAUGUGCUGGGAUUACAGUCGUGAGCCACUGUGCCCGGCCUGGUGGCGGUGCUUCUAACUCUAGAAAUUUGAUAGUCAAGGCUACUUACUCACCCAAUUCUUUACAAACAUCUGGAAAUGUUGGAGAAAAUGUAGCAAACAUUUUUUUAAAUACAUAGUUAAGUGCACAAGAAAGAAAUUUUAAUUCCUGGAUGUCAGUAACAAAAAGGAAA